rnacentral:rRNA from 1 species
UACGAAGGGGGCUAGCGUUGCUCGGAAUCACUGGGCGUAAAGCGCACGUAGGUGGCUUUCUAAGUCAGGGGUGAAAUCCUGGAGCUCAACUCCAGAACUGCCUUUGAUACUGGGAAGCUCGAGUCCGGAAGAGGUGAGUGGAACUUCGAGUGUAGAGGUGAAAUUCGUAGAUAUUCGGAAGAACACCAGUGGCGAAGGCGGCUCACUGGUCCGGUACUGACGCUGAGGUGCGAAAGCGUGGGGAGCAAACAGG